GUAUUCGUCUAUUUGUUGUGUUUACGUUUUCCAGCUGAUUUUUUUUGAAAUUUUUUUUGAAAAUUGCAAUUAUUUUCGAAUUUUAUUCAUUAUUAACUCGUAAAUGGUUUAAAUUUGCGAGAAAUCAGAUUAUGGGAGCUCAACGUGAGCUUUCUAGCGUGAUAUUUUACAUUGGCGAGGUUCGGUUUCACUCUUCGAGUCAGGUAAAUGAGCUUGUAACGAUGGAAAAAUACAUCAUAGUAUCAGUAAAAAAAAGAGGAUGAUGCUCGCGAAGAUGUGCAUUUGAACGACGAAGGAGCUUUAUCGUUGAAUAUAUUACGAAAAUACUUCCCAAGAGUUAUUCGGUUUGAAAUAUUUUACCCAAGUUUAUAUCAGUCAGGUGAUUGAUUUGGACGAUGAUCGAUUCUUCAGCGUUGGGUCUAUGGGCUGAUCUGACUUACUAUUGGAUUUGUAUCGAAAAUAAAUUCGUCAAUGUGAAAUCAGAAUCAUGUAUACCGAAGAAGAAGACAAAAACAGCUCGUUGAAUGUACACAUUUCAAUUAGUCAAGCAAACAGAACCAGCAUGAAAUCGUACAAACCAAAAGGAAAAUAUAAAAAGAAAAAACCUCACACAAAAGUGACAUCUGCGGUGAAAGUUUUCCUAACGAGGGCUACGUUGAGACACAUUAACUAAUGCACACCGGAGAGAAACCAUUCGCUCAUUCUCACUGCGACGAACGUUUCGCUAGACAGGAUUUAUUACGAAUAAACGACAAAACCGUACACGAUAUUAGAUGUAGGCCAAAAUCGAGAGCCAGUUCAACGUUCACCUACUCAUAAAAUACGAGAAACGCAGAACUGUGGGUAAAUUAUACCCCAAGCUACGUCUAAUCGUCGUUUCUCAAGAGCAAUAAAUUAAUUAACACUUGUGUUUACUUCGUAGGGCAAUAUAAUAUACUUCUUCGCCGAAGUGAAGAAACGUAAAUACACGUGCAGAAAAUCGAAAAAAGGUGGAGGAAGAAAAAAUAGGACGUUGUCGUUAUUAUUCUCUUCGUGAUUUUACAGUCGUGCAAUAAAAACUACCAAUGUGUAAGUUGCUCCGAACACCUUGUUUGAGUAACCUGACUUAAUUCACUGAUCAAAAAUUCGUCCAGAAAGCAUCACCUUUUUCCUCGACCAUCGAUUCACUAAAAUCAAAUAAAAUCUUGUCGAAAUCCAGAAGUGAAUGUAAAUACGCCAACAACCAAGAGAUAUGGAAAGUUCAAACAAAGAUGUCAGCUAUUGUGAUUGUUUGAAUUCGUACAUACCGGAAUACGACUGUAUUUCUAUGUAAUUUCAACAUCGUCGACUACAUCGUCGUAGUCGUAGCUAAAAUACUUUUGGAAAUUUUGACCAAAUUUCCAUGCUGUAAACAGAACAGUAUACCAUGGACUGAUUUCCUCAGCUAUAGCGUAUUAUUGUAACAAAUUUUAGACCAUUCUUAUUCUUACUCUUUGUUCAUUUCUAAUGAUCAUUUUGUUAUCUUCUGUAGUAAAUAAACGAACGUUUGUUUCUUACAAAAGGCUUAA